rnacentral:rRNA from 1 species
CGAACGCUGGCGGCGUGCCUAAUACAUGCAAGUCGAGCGGAAUGAUGAAGAAGCUUGCUUCUUCUGAUUUUAGCGGCGGACGGGUGAGUAACACGUGGGCAACCUACCUUGUAGAUUGGGAUAACUCCGGGAAACCGGGGCUAAUACCGAAUAAUCCAUUUUGCUUCAUGGCGAGAUGUUAAAAGGCGGCUUCGGCUGUCACUACGAGAUGGGCCCGCGGCGCAUUAGCUAGUUGGUAGGGUAAUGGCCUACCAAGGCGACGAUGCGUAGCCGACCUGAGAGGGUGAUCGGCCACACUGGGACUGAGACACGGCCCAGACUCCUACGGGAGGCAGCAGUAGGGAAUCUUCCACAAUGGACGAAAGUCUGAUGGAGCAACGCCGCGUGAGUGAAGAAGGUUUUCGGAUCGUAAAACUCUGUUGUAAGGGAAGAACACGUACGAGAGUAACUGCUCGUACCUUGACGGUACCUUAUUAGAAAGCCACGGCUAACUACGUG